CGUCCCGACAGCCGUCCCAGGCCGCCCGCCCUGCUUGCGUCACUUCCCCGGAUCCCCGCCCCGUGGCGUCACGGGCCGUCCUAGGCCGCCGAGGGAGACGGAGUGCGGGGAGGCCAGAUCCAGGCGUCAGCAAGGCUUACUAAUCUCCCUGGGGGUAAGGAGAGGCUUGGAAAGAAGAAAGGAAGUCCUUCCUCCAGUAGUGUUAGCAACACUGUGGGAUUCAGUUGAGAUGUCUCUUCAGGAAAAGAUGCCAUGCUGCUGUGUUACUACCUCAUACCCAGGGAAGUAGCCUUUUCUCCUUAAAAGAUGACUUUAUAAAUCAAACAUAGUUCUUAAGAUACUUACUCUAACUUUGGAGAUAUUCCUCUUAAUAUUCUUAUUUUUUAAAUUGGAAAAUUGCUGUUAAGGUACAUUUGUUACCAUUUUUCUCCCCUUUGAAGUCUCAAUUCCAUGUUUUCUUGCUGCUGUAACAGAUGGGCCCAGUGAGACUGCUCAGGGGAUAUCUUGAGCCAGAGGACCCAGUAAGACUGUGCCCAGAUUUCUGACCCAAAGAAAUUCAGAGACAAUAAAUGUUGUUUUUAGUCACAGUGUUUAAAGAUGGUUUAUACUCAGUGACAGGAAACUACAACAUCCCACAAAUGACUUGAUUAAAUCCACUGAUGUAGCCAGGCAUGGUGGCAUACACCUAUAACUAUUGACUCAGGAGGGUGAGUCAGGAAGAUCACAAAUUCAAGCCACCUUUAGCAAUAAGAUCCUGUCUUUAUCUUUAAUAAGAUCCUGUCUCAAAAAAGAAAAGAAAAGAAAACAACCAGGGAUGUAGCUAGGUGGUAAAGCACCAUGGGUUCAGUUCCUAGUACCAAGACCACAACUACAAAAAAAUCCACUGGCUUAAGGAAAAGGAGGCUCGGAGAGAUGCCUGCUCUGUUUGUGACCUCCUCUCACCCACAGGAGUAAGUGAAUGUGCACUUGGCACAAGGGGCCAUGUGUCAGGCUGUGCCCCUCCCCAGCCAUUUGGUACCACCCUGAUUCCUCACUGCCUGCCCACCUCAAAACUUGGGAAACAAAUAGCAUGUACCCCUCUGGGGAAAAAGGCACCAAGGGAAUUUCUGUCCUAAUAAACUAUUUGUUCCCUACAAGAGAGAAAUGAGGAAAUGUAUCCUGGUGAAGAAAAACAUGGAGGGAUCCAGUCCUGCAUUCAGAGCAGAACUUAGAGCAGAAGCAGACUUUCUACCCACUGUCUCCAAGGCUGACCCCAGACUUCAUCAUUCAUGUCAACUGACCACGUCAUACUGGCUCUGAGAGGACAGCCCAUGGGAGGAAACAGUGCAGAGGAGCAUGCAGUAACUGCCACCUCUUAGUUCACUUUGAGUGAAAUUGGGUGCCACUGCAGACUUUAAAACCUUGGUGAAGAGGACAUACUAGUUAUGGGAAAAAGAGAAUUCUUCAACAGACAGCCAGAGAAUGUCUUCACAGUCACCCUUGACGUGGAUUCAACAGCAAGUGCUCUACCACUGAGCCACAACCCCAGCUCAUAUCUUUACUGUUUUAAAUCAUAGCAACAGCUAUGCUUUAUUUGUGGUUUUGAACUAUGAAAGACUUGCAAUAAUCCCUAAAGGGGGUCAAAGAGUACAGACUUGCAGCCAACCUCUAGACCAGACAGCUGGUGAAUAAAUUCCACCUCCUGCUCCAAAAUUGACUUGGUGAUUUAUUGCAAUCUCGCCAUAACACCAUGGUUACCAACCGUAAACUGCUCAGAACUGGCCUGACCUGGGUGCCAGGAAUGAAGACCCACAACAAAGCUCAGUGUCAUCUGCUCCUUUCCACUCCACUAUGUCUAGCGGCAGCACCCUGGCAAACAAGGGCACUUAGAAGAAUGAGUACAUUGAGGAGCCCUGCAUUAAGACAGACACAGCUCCCCAGAGCAUGAAAGAUCCCAGAUCCCACCCCAGCGGAUCUCACCUGCCCCAUGGCCACAGCCAGGAAAACUGCCCGGAAAUUUCUCAGAUCUGCAGCCUGCAGCUCAGCCACAAUGCCAGCAUCCAGCAGCACCAAGCGCAGGGGGCAUAAGGCUGGCACCAUGGCCACCACCAGGGUGUCACAGACAUCCACCUGCUGCAGCUGUGCCUCAUGGCUCAAGGAAGGUCCAUCAGCACCCUGGACGAGGAUGUUCCCAGGAUGAAGGUCUGCAUGCACGAAGUUAUCCACAAAUAUCUGGAAAGAGAUGACACCAUUCAAGGCUGAGUCAACCCUUACUACCCAGCACCACCAAGCUACAUGCAGAAAAGGCUUCAGGGUGACAUGGUAAAGAGGUGUCCUGUUUCACAAAGCCUGGGGAUGUCAUCAGUUCAGAAUGUGUGCAGGGACAAGCUAAGUAAAAGUUUUCAAGAGAAAAAUUAUUUUCAAAGUAAAGCAGACCAGACUACCUUUCAAAAGACUUAUUUUUAUUUUUACAUUGUGACUUGAUUCAUUGAUGUUCUAAUUAAAAAAUAAUUAUUCUGGG